rnacentral:rRNA from 1 species
UCGAGAAUCUUCGGCAAUGGGCGCAAGCCUGACCGAGCGACGCCGCGUGGAGGACGAAGGCCUUCGGGUUGUAAACUCCUGUCGAGGGGGAGGAAGGCGCAAGCUUGACCGAUCCCUGGAGGAAGCACGGGCUAAGUUCGUGCCAGCAGCCGCGGUAAGACGAACCGUGCGAACGUUAUUCGGAAUCACUGGGCUUAAAGCGCGUGUAGGCGGGCCUCCGCGUCGGUCGCUGAAAUCCCCCGGCUCAACCGGGGAACGGGCGGCGAUACGGGAGGCCUGGAGGGGGGUAGGGGGGGCCGGAACUCACGGUGGAGCGGUGAAAUGCGUUGAGAUCGUGAGGAACGCCCGUGGCGAAAGCGGGCCCCUGGACCCUUGCUGACGCUGAGACGCGAAAGCCAGGGGAGCGAACGG